rnacentral:sRNA from 1 species
AGCGCAAGAUGGCGGCCUCGGCAGCGGUGUUCUCGCGCUUGCGAAGCGGGCUCCGGCUCGGCUCGCGGGGACUGUGCACGAGGUUGGCGACGCCGCCCCGCCGGGCCCCAGAUCAGGCCGCAGAGAUCGGGAGCCGCGGGAGCACUAAGACACAAGGGCCACAGCAGCAGCCGGGCUCAGAGGGUCCCAGCUAUGCCAAAAAAGUUGCGCUCUGGCUUGCUGGGCUGCUUGGAGCUGGUGGGACUGUGAGCGUCGUCUAUAUCUUUGGAAACAACCCGGUGGACGAAAAUGGUGCCAAGGUGAGGGGGAAAGAGACCGAGGCCUUGCCAGGAGUCCUAGUCUGUGGGUGAGAGGGGUCCCCUUUGGUCUGUUCAGGCACAUUGCUGGUCUGGAGUGAGCCUUUCUUUCCCAGUGACCUUUGCCUGUUCCUCUUGGGGUCCUGGAGAUUCUUUUUCUGUAUGUGAUGGGGUUCUGCCUCUGACAUCCUAAACCUUCCAUUUUUCUCUCUACCUCCCAGAUUCCUGAUGAGUUCGACAAUGGUGAGUAAACAAGCACAGAUUCUGGAGUCCCUGACCCU